GCGGGGGUUACCGAGUGGACAAAGGUGGCAGACUCAAGAUCUGCUCCCGCAGGGGUUCGCGGGUUCGAAUCCUGCCCCCCGCA
rnacentral:tRNA from 3 species